rnacentral:rRNA from 1 species
UACGUAGGGUGCAAGCGUUGUCCGGAAUUAUUGGGCGUAAAGAGCUCGUAGGCGGUUUGUCGCGUCUGCUGUGAAAACUCAGGGCUUAACUCUGAGCUUGCAGUGGGUACGGGCAGACUAGAGUGCGGUAGGGGAGACUGGAAUUCCUGGUGUAGCGGUGAAAUGCGCAGAUAUCAGGAGGAACACCGGUGACGAAAGGCGGGGUCUCUGGGCCGUAACUGACGCUGAGGAGCGAAAGCAUGGGGAGCGAACAGG